CACUGAUAGCAGAUCUGAAAACUAGCAUAUACACCGAGCACAUUCAGUCCUCUGUCCAAUAAAAUAAUACAAUCAAAAACAUUUAGUGUCCGACGCUCAGCAAACCUAAACAGCCAGGGGGCAUGUGCUUGUGUAACAGCUUUUAUUGCCGGCGUGACUCCGAAAGCUCAUAGAUACUGUCAGCGACGAGUCUGAUGCUUAUUAAAUGAUUUUGAAUUGGAUUUUAAAGAGCAAACAUU